rnacentral:piRNA from 1 species
UGAUUAGCUGAAGCCUCGUGA